rnacentral:rRNA from 1 species
CGUCAAGUCAGCAUGGCCUUUAUGUCUGGGGCUACACACGUGCUACAAUGGCCGGUACAGAGCGUCGCGAUCCCGCGAGGGGGAGCUAAUCGCAUAAAGCCGGUCUCAGUUCGGAUUGCAGGCUGCAACUCGCCUGCAUGAAGUUGGAAUCGCUAGUAAUCGCAGAUCAGCAGGCUGCGGUGAAUACGUUCCCGGGCCUU